rnacentral:lncRNA from 1 species
CUUCAGAUGACCUCAUCAAUUGCAGUCUACAUGUCAGCUGGUUCUAAAAGCAAGUAGAGAGCGGUGCUUGAUGAUGUGCUCUUUGAAGUCCAUGAGGGUCACCAUGAGCACCGCAUGGGACAAGCUGAGAACCAGGGUUUGAGGAGUGGCGAAAGCAUGACCCUCCGCCCGCCUGACAGAGUACUGCCCCGGCACACUGAACAGGGGACAGCUUUAGAGAAUCACUUCCCAAGUUAAGACACCUAUUGUUCACCCA